AAAUCCAGAAAAGAGACGGACAGGGUCCUUUAGUCCGUCUCUUUUCUGAAUUUUA
rnacentral:pre_miRNA from 1 species